rnacentral:sRNA from 1 species
CGGACAGCCCUGGAGACAACAAUCCUCUAGCUUCCCCCAGAACAGGCGCUGCAUGGGCAGAGGCAGCACAAGCCCCCCCACACACACACACACACCGUACCUCACCACCAGGCCUGCCUCCACCCUGCCCUGGAGCGACCCCCUCUCAGAGUGGGAGGGGAAUUCAGUCUUCAGCUUCCCCGCUGAGACAAU